rnacentral:rRNA from 1 species
CCUACGGGAGGCAGCAGUGAGGAAUAUUGGUCAAUGGACGAGAGUCUGAACCAGCCAAGUAGCGUGAAGGAUGACUGCCCUAUGGGUUGUAAACUUCUUUUAUAUGGGAAUAAAAUGUUCCACGUGUGGGAUUUUGUAUGUACCAUAUGAAUAAGGAUCGGCUAACUCCGUGCCAGCAGCCGCGGUAAUACGGAGGAUCCGAGCGUUAGCCGGAUUUAUUGGGUUUAAAGGGAGCGUAGGUGGAUUGUUAAGGCAGUUGUGAAAGUUUGCGGCUCAACCGUAAAAUUGCAGUUGAAACUGGCAGUCUUGAGUACAGUAGAGGUAGGCGGAAUUCGUGGUGGAGCGGUGAAAUGCUUAGAUAUCACGAAGAACUCCGAUUGCGAAGGCAGUUCACUGGACUGCAACUGACACUGAGGCUCGAAAGUGUGGGUAUCAAACAGGAUUAGAUACCCCUGUAGUC